AUUGAACGCUGGCGGCAUGCCUAACACAUGCAAGUCGAACGGGGCAGCAAUGCCUAGUGGCGGACGGGUGAGGAAUACGUAGGAAUCUGCCCUUAAGUGGGGGAUAACCAGGGGAAACCCUGACUAAUACCGCAUGAUCUCUUCGGAGCAAAGAGGGGGACCGCAAGGCCUCUCGCUUCUGGAUGAGCCUACGUCUGAUUAGCUAGUUGGUAGGGUAAAGGCCCACCAAGGCGACGAUCGGUAGCUGGUCUGAGAGGAUGAUCAGCCACACUGGAACUGAGACACGGUCCAGACUCCUACGGGAGGCAGCAGUGGGGAAUAUUGGACAAUGGGCGCAAGCCUGAUCCAGCCAUGCCGCGUGUGUGAAGAAGGCCUUCGGGUUGUAAAGCACUUUUGUUGGGGAAGAAAAGCUCGCGGUUAAUACCCGUGGGUUCUGACGGUACCCAAAGAAUAAGCACCGGCUAACUUCGUGCCAGCCGCCGCAGUAAUAC
rnacentral:rRNA from 1 species